CCUCUUCAAAACCACCCUGUGUCAGGAGACACAAGUGAUUGCACAUGCUGGAAUCAGGAGCAGCUAACAAUCUCCAGGGCAGUAUCUGUUAGGAGAAAAAUUGUCAAUGUUGGCUGAAACCCAGCAUCAGAACUGAAAUGUCUAAACCAGCAUCUUUACAAUGAGAGGUCGGAAGUCUCUCAUCGUUCAGGGACUUUCUUUAAUCUUCUGGAUAAUCAGACCAUAAAUAUUUUUGCCUUCCAUUGAGACUUCAACAGUAAACUGAAGUCAGUGGCAGAGGGAUGCUUGCCACUGAGAAGGCCCCACGCAAAGAACCAGGAAGUAUUACAGCUCAGAGUUCAAUUCCGGUGCCGUCCGUGAGGAGUCUCAGCACACUCUCCCCAUGAAAUGCGUGGGCUUUCCCUGGGUGCUCCGGUUUCCUCCCACAGUCCGAAGAUGUACCAGAUUCCUUCUGUCCUGUAGGAUAACAAUUUUCCCCUAUAAAUUCUGACCUUAAACUGCUAGCUGCCUCGAAAAGGAAAUGACUGAUUUUACUGAAACACCAGGCACACCUGUCACACAAGACACUGCUUCAAAGUUAACCAAGGUGGUUUCAGUGUGGGUUCGCACUGCAUCCCAUGAAGUUGCAAAGAAAAAUAACUUCUACCUGUGAAGAGGAAUAAACAACCAAUUUUUCGGGCCGAGGCCCUUCAUCAGGACCUGAUUUGAUAUUUGAUAUUCGACUCCUCUCCACAGAUGCUGUCCGACUUGCUGAGUUACUCCAGCUCUAGAUUUCCAGAAUCUGCAGAAUCUCUUGUGUUUAUUA